rnacentral:rRNA from 1 species
AAAAGAAACUAACAAGGAUUCCCCUAGUAACUGCGAGUGAAGCGGGAAAAGCUCAAAUUUAAAAUCUGAUAGUCCUCGCGGCUGUCCGAGUUGUAAUCUGGAGAAGUGUUUUCCGCGCUGGACCGUGUACAAGUCUCCUGGAACGGAGCGUCAUAGAGGGUGAGAAUCCCGUCUUUGACACGGACUACCAGUGCUUUUGUGAUACGCUCUCAACGAGUCGAGUUGUUUGGGAAUGCAGCUCAAAAUGGGUGGUAAAUUCCAUCUAAAGCUAAAUAUUGGCGAGAGACCGAUAGCGAACAAGUACCGUGAGGGAAAGAUGAAAAGAACUUUGGAAAGAGAGUUAAACAGUACGUGAAAUUGUUAAAAGGGAAACGCUUGAAGUCAGUCGCGUUGGCCGGGGAUCAACCUUGCAUUUAUGCUGGGCGUACUUUCCGGUUGACGGGUCAGCAUCAAUUUUGACCGUUGGAUAAAGUGCAGGGGAAUGUGGCAUCCUCGGAUGUGUUAUAGCCCUUGUUCGCAUACAACGAUUGGGAUUGAGGAACUCAGCACGCCUUUAUGGUCGGGGUUUACCCACGUAACGUGCUUAGGAUGCUGGCAUAAUGGCUUUAAUCGACCCGUCUUGAAACACGGACCAAGGAGUCUAACAUGCCCGCGAGUGUUUGGGUGGAAAACCCGAGCGCGUAAUGAAAGUGAAAGUUGAGAUCCCUGUCGUGGGGAGCAUCGACGCCCGGACCAGACGUUCUCUGACGGUUCCGCGGUAGAGCGUGUAUGUUGGGACCCGAAAGAUGGUGAACUAUGCCUGAAUAGGGUGAAGCCAGAGGAAACUCUGGUGGAGGCUCGUAGCGAUUCUGACGUGCAAAUCGAUCGUCGAA